ensembl:lncRNA
AUGGAAGAUGUGUCUGUGGGAAAAGAGAGAGAGGCUACAAAUGCAUUCGGAGUGAAGCUUCGCUCUACCUCUCUUUCGCUAAAGUUUCGCUUGGACAAAGCUCAAUCAGAAGACAGAGUUAAACACCACAGUGCAUCGAUUUCACCUGCGGCCUCACAAUCUGAUUCAUCCAGCUAUGUGCAACCUGAAGACCAUUCCUCCGGUUUGCCACCUAAGAAUUUCUGUAGAGACAAAGACAGAGCUGGCGUCCUCAGACAGGCUGAACCUCCUCAGCCCUCAUCAUCAGCCAGCAAAUCUACUAAGAUUGUACCUUCACCAGCUAAAGAAGGUACAGGCUUGCCUCCAGAAGAGACUACAGCGGUAUCCUUUCAGGAGAACCCACCAGCAUCUACUGCUUCAGAGGUGUCCUGGAUGGAGAUGGCCAGAGAGAAGACCAGAAGUCUCCAGCAGCUCUUUACCAGUAGACUGCCUGAGUUUCCUAGCUUGCAAUCUCGAUCAACAACCUUGACUACAACACAACCACAAACCCAAACAUCCACUUCACAAGCCAACCCAAGAAUCACACAGAACAUUUCAAGCCAGCCGACGACUACACAACCUAUUUUGAGACCUACAGAAACAAAACCGCUGCCAUCUCCACAGCAUUCUGGAAAAUCCACACAAUCUGCCACUCAGUUGAUGCAAACUCAGACUAGAACAACAACAAACCAAACUUCAGCAAAUUCAAAUCAGACUCAGACUGACAGUACCAGAGAAGUCCAGUUUCAGUCCAACACUCAAAUGUUUAAUUCAACAACAAAACCAACCCAGUCUACAGUAACAUGCACAUUGAAUGUGCAAACCACUGCAGUAAACACAGCAAAUCAGCCAUCACAAGCAUUGGCACCACAGACACCACCCAUCCAGCCAUCAUCACCACUGCGAGCAGCAUCACAGACCCCCACACAAGCUAUACUGCGUACCACAGCACCCCCAGGUUACCCAUAUCUGUCGUCAAGCCCAAAGUUAACGUCCCAACAGUCUGCCAAUACUGUCUCAAAGGAUCAGCCUCAGAAUGAGGGGGGAGAGCCCAGUGUAAUCUCAGGGAAAGCUGACAGGGCGUCUGCGUCUCAGGGGAUAGGGACCGGGCCUGAAGAUGGCAGACCAGUGUGGGCAGCAGGAUUAGGAAACAAGACCUCGCUCUUACAGCGCUGGGAGAACCAAACAACUGCUACAACCAAGACAGGUGAGUCGAAGUCCACAGCAGAGUCCCAAACCACAUCUCAAUCUACAGCUCCUCUCAGACCGAUCUCAAAGCUCUCAGGCACAGGAUUCGACUCAAGUUUGCCAAUGCAAGCAUCAGUCUCUCCUGUUCCCACGAGGUCAGCAGACAGAGAGGAUAAAUGGCAGCAGCAAUCAGAGCCACCAUCAUCGCCUUCAUCAUCACCUUCAUCAUCAUCUCCUCUGCAGUCUGUCCGUGACGCUGCCCAACCAUCCUGGAUGGAGCUGGCCAAGAGGAAAUCCCUGGCAUGGAGUGAUAAGACUAUGGACUAA